AGUUGGGUAGAGCAGUGGUCAGCUUGCCGGUCUCAUACGCCGGAGGUCGGAGGUUCAAAUCCUCCCCCAGCUA
rnacentral:tRNA from 1 species